GACCAGGAUUCGACCCUGGGUUAUAGUCAAAUUAAGUGAUUAAAAUGGCCAUUAUUAUUGUUGUGAUCGUCUAGUAUAAAGAUUGUGUUUAAUAUGACUACAGAAUAGUGGGAAUCAUAAUGGAAGGAAGACAAAAUAAGAUGCAACGUACGGGUUUUAGCUACAAUAAUUAGUAAGAUUGAAGACUUCUUGACGAUGUUUAUAAUGUAUCCUAUAAAAUAUUCACUCGCCAGAAUCGUCCAAAGAUCCAGGAGGGACAGAUAUCUACUCCAAACCUGGAAUCUGUUGCAGAAUAUUAAAGAAAAUUAUGGGAAAACAAAUUUGAAUGACGGACAGAUUUAGCAAGAUGAAAGAUUUAAGCCUACAAGCAUGCUACUGUUUCUCACAUCAAAGGUACAUUGUUAAUUAUGAACAUCAAUAGUAAAUAAAGCAGUUUUGGAGAAAAGUAGUAUGUUUCAUUAAUAAUCCCCUGGUUGAUUAUUUUUAUUGAUAUCGUACAGCUCCAUCUAUUGGCAAGCUAUGGUACUACAAUGACUUCUAGCUAUCAAGCUGCCUAGAAAUGAAGUCCUGCUUUUCACAAAUGUCAGUCCUUUUCCCACUCCAU
rnacentral:lncRNA from 1 species